rnacentral:rRNA from 1 species
CCCCCUGGCGACUCUGAAUAACUUUUUGCGGAUCGCACGGCCUCGUGCCGGCGACGCGUCCUCCCGAGGUGUGCCCUAUCAACUGUCGACUGUGGCAUCGACGCCCACAGUGGUCUUGACGGGUGACGGGGAAUCGGGGUUCGGUUCCGGAGAGGGAGCCUGAGAGACGGCUACCACUUCUAAGGAAGGCAGCAGGCGCGCAAAUUACCCACUGGCCGCGGGCCGAGGUAGUGACGAAAAAUAACGACGCCGGACUCAUCCGAGGCCCGGCGAUCGGAAUGGGCACAGCCUAAAUCCUUUAGCGAGGAACCACUGGAGGGCAAGUCUGGU